CAGUAGCCGCGGUAAAACAGAGGGUGCGAGCGUUAAUCGGAUUUACUGGGCGUAAAGCGUGCGUAGGCGGCUUCUUAAGUCGGAUGUGAAAUCCCUGAGCUUAACUUAGGAAUUGCAUUCGAUACUGGGAAGCUAGAGUAUGGGAGAGGAUGGUAGAAUUCCAGGUGUAGCGGUGAAAUGCGUAGAGAUCUGGAGGAAUACCGAUGGCGAAGGCAGCCAUCUGGCCUAAUACUGACGCUGAGGUACGAAAGCAUGGGGAGCAAACAGGAUUAGAUACCCCGGUAGUCCCUGUCUCUUAUAA
rnacentral:rRNA from 1 species